UGCAGUCCUCAGAGAGACACCCAGGAGCUGCUCUGCUGAAGGGACCACCCCCCUUGGCAGAAAGUUGGUGUUCCUCUGGCAGGAGGACUGCAAAGGGUCCAUGCAAACUACAGAAGAUCCAGCAAGGGAAACUAAUGACCUUCAAUUGCAAGUUUUGUCCUUCUUCUAUUGUCGACAUUCCUACACAGUUAAAAUUACCUUCCACAACCAAAUCAGGAAAGCUACCAGGAG